rnacentral:lncRNA from 1 species
UUGGUCAUGAUCUUGCCGAGUGCAUGGCCGAGGUGGUUGUCCAUCUUCUUCCCCACCGUCGGUGACCACGCCGGCUGAUUCUCUAUCUCCUCGUGGCCAGCACGGACCAAGGUGAUCCUAGCUUAGUUUAGUGUGUGUUCUAUGUCCCUUUGGGUUCCAUGUUACUUCUUGGCCCGGCUGCUUAAAUUCUAUCAUAGUGUAGCGCCAGGAACGCCGUGUCACCACUCACCACCGAUGAACCGCAAGUGUAUCCACCAUGGCCGUGGGUGAAUCACAUAUUCACACCUAGGUCUAGAGUUACCGUUGUUCUUAGGGGUUGUGAUCGGCUGAGCUCAGUGUUGGUGUGUUGGUGUUGGAUCUCGCUGGAGUAGGUCGUCGGUGUCGGUUUCAAGUGCUUGUUGCUUGGUGUUCGACCAGGAUCAGGUCGGGGGCUUGUUUCUGUGAAUUGAACGUGGGGGAGGGGUUUUGGCUCAAAGCCAGUGAGACAGUGCAAUAGUGUCCGAGAUCCUUAAUAUUUUUACCGGAUGUCGGGGGUCACAAGGGUGUCUUCGCCGACAUCUAUGUUACGCCAUGGUGGCCAGUCCGACGCUGGAUCGCCGGAGUUGGGCGCGGCAGUGUCGUGGACGGGACCUUGCAAAAGAAACGAAAUCGAGGGACUUAAGUGAUUUUGUCAAUGAGACAAACCAACAAGUAGAUCGGGCUUGUAUUGGAUUUAUCUGUGUGUAAGGGGCCUUCUGGCUAAAACGCCGGUGCAAGAACGUGGGCUGCCAGCCAUGGGCCGACUUUGUUCUCUUGCGUGGGCCGAGUGGCGAGAUUGGGCCCGAUACUGUUCACAGUUUGGCCUUUUCCUUUUCUAGAGAACUUGAGAAUAGUGCCAAAAAUAGUAGAAAACUCGAAAAUUCAUGGGACAAAUUUUGUUGGAUGUAUAAAAUCAAGAGCUCUCUGGUAAAGUUGGUUUUAGGAUUUUUAGAUCAGUUAGCAAAUUUUAAGUGAAAUUCGGGUGCUCGUUGAAGGACUAUUGUAAUUUUAGAAAUAAGAGUUGAGCAUCCCAAAAAUCAUGAACAUUUUUGGAGAAUCUUGUUAUCAGAAGUUGAACCUUUGGGCAAAGUUUGGAACUAUUUGGAUGUGAUUUACUUAGUAAACUAAUUAUUGCCCAAAACGAAAAGGAUUUCAUCUAUGAAAUAAGGACACCUAGUAGUUUAGUGAAGUGAUGAAGUUUCUUUAAGAGUUUUAAGCUUUUGGAUAAGAUCUAAGAUGGAUUAGUUCUCUAGGUUACCUAAACAAGUUCAAUUUGGUUGCUUUUAUCAAGUGUUGGUGGUGUAGGGGUAUGCGUAUACUUGUCAGGUACUUUAGUUUGCGGUGUUUAUGUUCCCUACCUCUCCUUGUGAGAGCUUGCAUUACAUGUCAUUACAUAAGCAUUCAUAUAUUUGUAAUUAACUUGUAGAACACCUAGACGAGGUGGUACUUGACGAAGUCUACUCCAGUGCCUGCUCAUCAAGUGGAUGGAGCUAUUUAACUAAAGGUUAGGUAGAAGGAUCUAGAACCUCUUCACUGCAACAAAGGCAAGCCCCGGUGCAUGCAACCCCUUCCUUGUGUUUUUAAAUAAUUUUUGCACACUUUAAGUUUAGCGAAAUGUGCAUUAGGUUUAUAGGAGUUGCUUGGAAACCCUUUGAUGCAUUGGCUACCUUGAGAUCCAUUCCUUUUAUAGAUACUUCUGGUGAAGUAACAAAUAUGAUUUACAAAAUUGCUUAGCCCUGCCUAGAGGUAAAUCUUGCAAAUAGAGUUUGUCCUUUGCACUAAUGCCUAGCUCAUGGGUUAUCCUGAGGAAGGAUGGGCUUCUACCUGCAAGAAUAUUUUUAUUGAGAGCAUGGUGGGAUCUUACUGCAAAGUUCUCUUUAAUGCUCUUCUCAUCCUAAGGACCACAAACAAUCCCUAGGGUGGAAGUACUUAAAUUGAGACUUGGGCUAGGAACAGGUGAUGUUCUACCCAGGUUGAUUAAGGAUUAUAGGGAAUGUAGGCCUGCUGAUCGAGGACCUUUUAACUGGCCACAUGCCUCGUCAUGGGUAAGCUUUGCCUCGGGCAGACCAAUACCAGAAAGGCCAACAUGCAACGGGAGUGGAGAGAUGGCGAGAGUAGCGUGUACCCUCCGUGGCAAGAGGCUGGACGGUGGUGUAUCUGUAAUCUCGGUUGUCGUGAACCCGGUCUGGUCUUGAGAAACCUGGUGGCGAGUUGACAUAUGCAAGGGUUAAGUGCUACAUAUGUCGUGUGGUUAGAGAUCCUCAGCUCGGUAUUAAUCGAUUCAGAAUCGCCGUUACUUCUCGGAUAUGAAGACUUGGUCACUGACUUGCAAUCUAAGUCAUGGAUGGAAUCAUAAUAAGCAAAAAUCAUGUUGUAUUGAUUAAUGUGAUGAUGAAAUUAGACUAGAUGCAAACAAGGUCUAUUAAUACUUAAUCUAGCAUUAAAAUGUUGAAAGUAAGGACUCAUUUUAGUAAGCUUUCUGCAAACUAUUAAUGUUGAUUCUUGCUAAAAGCCGUUCCUUGAUUCCCAAAUCCAGCAUAUCCUUGAGAGUCUUUUUCCUUAGUCGGGUAAGACUUGCGAAAGUACACUUCGUACUCAGGGUUUUCGAACCCAUGUUGUUGCAGGUAAUCAGGAGCUUUCUAGGUGUCCCUGUGGCUGGAAGAUGCUUCCAGUCUUGAAGGAGGAUUAGUUAGGUUUAUGUGUGAACUUUGGAAGGGUUCUACCUUCCUGCUAUGGUAAUAAGUUAUGCAUUUUGAGUUCUAUCAGGACUUGUAAUAAUUAUAAAUCUUUCUAGCAUGUAAAACUUGAGUUUUGG